UUAUAAAAUUAAGAACAUUUAUCACCUUUAAGCCAUCAUAUUAUUCAACAAGGCAUAAUUGUUAAUUUAAAAAUACUAUAACCUAAUUGCGUCAUUAGUUUCCAAUACAAAAUCUUGUCUUUGUAAGCUCUCGAAUCAAAAACGUCACAAGCACCGGCGGUAAGUUAACCGUAUGGGAAUAGAAAAAACACCAGUUCGAGUGAACUUUGUUAUUUGAAAAGCUUACCAUUUUUUUAUUUCAAAAUUUUAUACUAAUGACGUUUUUGGCUUCUUUUCACAUGCAAUAAAUUAAGACGUUAAUCUUCUAAAAAAAGUUUCGCUUUCAGAACGGCUACUAAAACAAUGAGACAGGUUUGAAACCAAGUUACAAAGGAAAGAAUAAACUAUUUGGGUGAGGCUUUUAUUAAAGAAAAGGUUUUUAUCUUGAUGGUUUCACCUUGAACGUUUCACCUUGAACAAAGGACGAUGAUAAAAUGAACUUAGACGAAGCUAUUAGAGUUAUCUAAUUGAAUACCAUAUGAAAAAAUGUUUACAAAUAUAUUAACUUACAACGUGUAACUGGCUACACAUCAGUGCUGUUCAUGUUUAACCGAGAAAUGCAAUCAGAUCAUUUUAAAAAGUAUUGGCAGGCUGUACUUGACGACUUAUCUUCCUGCAACGAAAUGAAAAGAGCCUUUAACUACUAGCCAACUUAAAAUAAUUUUCAUAGCAGCAUUUUAUAAGAGGAAUUUUCCUUUUAUUUUAUUUACUAAUUAGAUUACUUAUUAUUUUUGGACAUUGUUUUAAAUUAUUAAAAUUAUUUUUGGACAUUUAG